rnacentral:rRNA from 1 species
GAUGAACGCUGGCGGCGUGCCUAAUACAUGCAAGUAGAACGCUGAAGGCAGGAGCUUGCUCUUUCCGGAUGAGUUGCGAACGGGUGAGUAACGCGUAGGUAACCUGCCUGGUAGCGGGGGAUAAAUAUUGGAAACGAUAGCUAAUACCGCAUAACAGUAGAUGUUGCAUGAUAUCUACUUAAAAGGUGCAAUUGCACCACUACCAGAUGGACUUGCGUUGUAUUAGCUAGUUGGUGAGGUAACGGCUCACCAAGGCGACGAUACAUAGCCGACCUGAGAGGGGGAUCGGCCGCACUGGGACUGAGACACGGCCCAGACUCCUACGGGAGGCAGCAGUAGGGAAUCUGCGGCAAUGGACGGAAGUCUGACCGAGCGACGCCGCGUGAGUGAAGAAGGUGUUCGGAUCGGAAAGCUCUGUUGUAAGAGAAGAACGAGUGUGAGAGUGGAAAGUUCACACUGGGACGGUAUCUUACCAGAAAGGGACGGCUAACUACGG